CCUACGGGAGGCAGCAGUGAGGAAUAUUGGUCAAUGGGCGCGAGCCUGAACCAGCCAAGUAGCGUGAAGGAUGACUGCCCUACGGGUUGUAAACUUCUUUUAUAAAGGAAUAAAGUGAGGCACGUGUGCCUCUUUGUAUGUACUUUAUGAAUAAGGAUAGGCUAACUCCGUGCCAGAAGCCGCGGUAAUACGGAGGAUCCGAGCGUUAUCCGGAUUUAUUGGGUUUAAGGGGUGCGAGGGCGGGCUGUUAAGUCAGCGGUAAAAGCCCGGGGGUCAACCCCGGCGAGCCGUUGAAACUGGGUGUCUUGAGAGGUCGAGAGGUAUGCGGAAUGCGCGGUGUAGCGGUGAAAUGCUUAGAUA
rnacentral:rRNA from 1 species